rnacentral:rRNA from 1 species
CCUACGUGAGGCAGCAGUGGGGGAUAUUGCGCAAUGGGCGAAAGCCUGACGCAGCGACGCCGCGUGAGGGAUGAAGGUCUUCGGAUCGUAAACCUCUGUCAGCAGGGAAGAACGGUCACUGUGCUAAUCAGCAGUGAAUUGACGGUACCUGCAAAGGAAGCACCGGCUAACUCCGUGCCAGCAGCCGCGGGAAUACGGAGGGUGCGAGCGUUAAUCGGAAUUAGUGGGCGUAACGGGCUCGUAGGCGGUAUGUCAAGUCAAGGGUGAAAUCCCCGCGCUCAACGGGGGAACUGCCUUUGAAACUGGCAAACUGGAGUGUGUGAGAGGAUAGUGGAAGUCCAGGUGUAGGAGUGAAAUCCGUAGAUAUCUGGAGGAACAUCAGUGGCGAAGGCGACUAUCUGGCACAUAACUGACGCUGAGGAGCGAAAGCGUGGGUAGCAAACAGGAUUAGAUACCCCUGUAGUC